CCCGUAAACUACGGUAGGCCCUUUAAAGCCGAAAUACGAAGAGGAAAUAGGAGAACCCACUCCACGAUUCUUAGCCUGGAAGUUCCAUGGACAGAGGAAGAGGAGCCAUCACAAGAGUCGGAUCCACUAGUGACUAAGCACCACCAGAACAACAGAAAUUUAGUCCUCACCAGUCUGAAGGNUAAAGUCCGAGUCAUGGAGUCAGCAGGACUCGUGCAAAUAUAGACACUCACAGCAGACCCCUAAUACCCCUCGUGUGACCUUCGCCGUACCCCGACGACUAACUUACGUAGGUGUCCGGAGUUACCCCCGUUCGGUGUCCCCGCCAAGCUUAACCGCAUUAACGUUAUUCCGGACUCGGGACGUACCGGACCCGCAAGGUUAAAACUCAAAUUGUAAUUUGACGGGGCCUAGCACCAAGCGGUGAGACAUGUGGUUUAAUUCGAAGCCAACGCGCCAGAACCCUUACCUAGCGUUGACAUGGUAGACGGGUUUCAGUUGAUGACUUCUCCCUUUCGGCCGCGUCGUCGACAUCCCCACAUAUUUGGAUUCCAUUCGUUUCCCUGGACUUCAUAACAAAGUGCUAC
rnacentral:rRNA from 1 species